rnacentral:rRNA from 1 species
AUUGAACGCUGGCGGCAUGCCUUACACAUGCAAGUCGAACGGUAACGGGCCUUCGGGUGCCGACGAGUGGCGAACGGGUGAGUAAUACAUCGGAACGUGCCCGAUCGUGGGGGAUAACGAGGCGAAAGCUUUGCUAAUACCGCAUACGAUCUACGGAUGAAAGCAGGGGACCGCAAGGCCUUGCGCGGACGGUGCGGCCGAUGGCAGAUUAGGUCGUUGGUGGGAUAAAAGCUUACCAAGCCGACGAUCUGUAGCUGGUCUGAGAGGAUGAUCAGCCACACUGGAACUGAGACACGGCCCAGACUCCUACGGGAGGCAGCAGUGGGGAAUGUUGGACAAUGGGCGCAAGCCUGAUCCAGCCAUGCCGCGUGCAGGAUGAAGGCCUUCGGGUUGUAAACUGCUUUUGUACGGAACGAAAAGCCUUCUUUUAAUACAGGAGGGUCAUGACGGUACCGUAAGAAUAAGCACCGGCUAACUACGUG